GCCUCCGUUUGCUAGAAUUAAUUCGAAUAGUUGAGAAGAAAGUGACGAACGGAUGCGUAAUGCGUGGGAAUCUGCCAAAUAGUUCGGGCCGAAUCCUGAAGAAAGUUCAAAGCGCUGUCUGAUGAGCCUACGUAGUAUUAGUUAGUUGGUCAGGUAAAGGAUGGCAAGCCAAUGAUGCUUAGCUGGUGUUUUUGAAUGAUUAGCCACACUGGGACUGAGACCUGGCCUAGACUCCCAUGGGCGGCAGCAGAGGGGAAUCUUGGACAAUGGGCGAGAGCCCGAUCCAGC
rnacentral:ncRNA from 1 species